rnacentral:rRNA from 1 species
CUGUCGUCAGCUCGUGUCGUGAGAUGUUCGGUUAAGUCCGCUAACGAGCGCAACCCUCGCUGUGUGUUACAAGUGUCACACGGAACUGCCGGUCAUAAACCGGAGGAAGGUGGGGAUGACGUCAAGUCAGCAUGGCCUUUAUAUCCUGGGCUACACACACGCUACAAUGGGAAGGGACAAUAGGUUGCGAAGCCGCGAGGCGGAGCCAAUCCAGCAAAACUUCCCUCAGUUCAGAUUGCAGGCUGCAACUCGCCUGCAUGAAGUUGGAGUUGCUAGUAAACGCAGGUCAGCCAUACUGCGUUGAAUACGUUCCCGGGGCUU